GCCCCCUUGUACACUUUUGCCAAUUCGACUUGAAUGUCUGUUGACGCUGGGGAGUUGGUCAUUCAAGUGCGCAAAGGAAGACCUAUCCUUUUAAAACUCAGGCAAACUGGUGUUUGUCUUGUAUCCUGUCAAAGGAAACAAAU
rnacentral:snoRNA from 1 species